GAGUGGGCUCCAGGAAAGGGGAGAAACUAGGCAGCAGGAGCAGACACCUCUGAGCCUGCAAGGGCAAGGGGGGUUGGUUUCUAGGCCGCCAAGAGUGCAGAGAGGCCCAAUGCCACAGCCCUGAUUUGGGCAUCUGCUGCCAUGUCUAGGAGGUCAGGGCUGUGACCUGCUUCUAGCUCCAGCCGGGUCCUUCAGUGUGCAGCCGCUUAUGACCCCUUGCAGCUUGGGACAGGAGCUCUAGGUGGCCCCAGGCUGGUGUCCUGGGCAGGGGCAACGUCUAUGUGAGCUCACAUGUCUCCAGGCAAACAACUCCCCCUGUCCCCGCCUUACUCAGUUUGCGGCCCUGUCAAGGAGUCUCGGAGUAGACUGUGGGCCCCGGGGCCUUGCCAUGGAGACUAUCAAGCGUGGUGGUCACCCGACGCGGGGCGGACCUGGAGACAUAACCCUUAGGAUCCCUGCGCAGAGGCCUCCCUGAGGUCCAGCAACCUGGCACCGUAGCAUGGGCCAGGUUCCGGAAGUGGUGCUACUCCCACUUCCUGCUGCUGCUCCCACUUCCUGCCGCUGCCCCCACUUCCUGCCCCUCCUGGAAGUGGUGCAGCUCCCACUUCCUGCCCCUCCCGGAAGCGGGGAGCCCGCUCCUCCUCCUCCCUGCACCCUCCCUUCAGCAGAAGCCAGUGAGAAGAGUGAGGGGGAGCCAGAGCCGGGACUCUGAGGCCAAGGGCGGGUCUGGGUCCUGCCACCAGCGCCGGUCCUCUCCGCCGUGCAGGGCCCGCAGGGCCAUCACCGUGGCCGGUCAGUCCGUCAUCUGUUUCCAAUCUGCUGUACUAGUUUGCCAUCCGACUGACAAUACAGAAGACCUCCAGCUCCUCCUGGCCAUCCACAGAGAGUCUCAGUUUCCUCUGGGGAAUAAUCAGCUUGCUACAUUUUCAUUCACGGAUGUUGAAAGGGACAACGCUAAUCUCCACAAUUAAGCAUAAUUUUGGGGAACACAGCAUAAAAAUG
rnacentral:lncRNA from 1 species